UAGGGAAUAUUGCGCAAUGGAGGAAACUCUGACGCAGCGACGCCGCGUGAGCGAUGAAGGCCUUCGGGUUGUAAAGCUCUGUCGCAGGGGAAUAAGAAAGUGAAUGUACUCUGCAAGAAAGGAUCGGCUAACUUCGUGCCAGCAGCCGCGGUAAGACGAGGGAUCCUAGCGUUGUUCGGAAUCAUUGGGCGUAAAGCGGGUGUAGGUGGCUUGGUAAGUCAGGUGUGAAAGCCCAGGGCUUAACCCUGGAAGUGCAUUUGAUACUGCUGAGCUUGAGUGUAGGAGAGGUUACUAGAAUUCUUGGUGUAGUGGUGAAAUACGUAGAUAUCAAGAGGAAUACCGGAGGCGAAGGCGGGUAACUGGCCUAACACUGACACUCAGACCCGAAAGCGUGGGGAUC
rnacentral:rRNA from 1 species